UGAACGCUGGCGGCGUGCCUAAUACAUGCAAGUCGAGCGACCAGACGCGGAGCUUGCUCCUCUGAUGUUAGCGGCGGACGGGUGAGUAACACGUGGAUAACCUACCUAUAAGACUGGGAUAACUUCGGGAAACCGGAGCUAAUACCGGAUAACAUGUUGAACCGCAUGGUUCAACAGUGAAAGACGGUCUUGCUGUCACUUAUAGAUGGAUCCGCGCCGCAUUAGCUAGUUGGUAAGGUAACGGCUUACCAAGGCAACGAUGCGUAGCCGACCUGAGAGGGUGAUCGGCCACACUGGAACUGAGACACGGUCCAGACUCCUACGGGAGGCAGCAGUAGGGAAUCUUCCGCAAUGGGCGAAAGCCUGACGGAGCAACGCCGCGUGAGUGAAGAAGGUCUUCGGAUCGUAAAACUCUGUUAUUAGGGAAGAACAAAUGUGUAAGUAACUAUGCACGUCUUGACGGUACCUAAUCAGAAAGCCACGGCUAACUACGUG
rnacentral:rRNA from 1 species